rnacentral:tRNA from 1 species
GCCUUCGUGGUGUAAUGGUAGCACACUCAGCGCCUAUUCGAGAGGUCCAGGUUCGAAUCCCGGUGAGAGCA